rnacentral:tRNA from 1 species
AGUGAGGUGGUCGAGGUUAAGAUGGCGGGCUGUAAACCUGUUUACGGGACGGUGGUCCCCCUCACUA